rnacentral:rRNA from 1 species
AGUGAACGCUGGCGGUAGGCCUAACACAUGCAAGUCGAACGGCAGCACAGAGGAGCUUGCUCCUUGGGUGGCGAGUGGCGGACGGGUGAGGAAUACAUCGGAAUCUACUCUGUCGUGGGGGAUAACGUAGGGAAACUUACGCUAAUACCGCAUACGACCUACGGGUGAAAGCAGGGGAUCUUCGGACCUUGCGCGAUUGAAUGAGCCGAUGUCGGAUUAGCUAGUUGGCGGGGUAAAGGCCCACCAAGGCGACGAUCCGUAGCUGGUCUGAGAGGAUGAUCAGCCACACUGGAACUGAGACACGGUCCAGACUCCUACGGGAGGCAGCAGUGGGGAAUAUUGGACAAUGGGCGCAAGCCUGAUCCAGCCAUACCGCGUGGGUGAAGAAGGCCUUCGGGUUGUAAAGCCCUGUCAGAGGGAAAGAAGGGUUGCCGACCUAACACGUCGGUGAUCUGACGGUACCUUCAGAGGAAGCCCCGGCCAACUCUGUGCCAGCCGCCGCGGUAAAAC